AGCUCCUACCUCCACUCUGAAAGUAUGACUGAGAAGGCGGUGUGGGAUGAUGCCCAUCUCAAGAAACUCAUUGAAAUAUUGAGAGAAGAGGUUGAAAAGGGGAAUAGGCCAUUAGGUUAUUUAAACAAGAGGGGUUGGGAAAACGUUUUGGAGAAAUGGGAAGCUAGAACGGGAAAGAAGUAUCCCAAGGAUAAAUUCAAAAACAAGUGGGAUGCCAUAAAAAAUGAGUACACUUGGUUCAUGGAGUUGAAAAAUGAAGCAACUGGGCUUGGAUGGGAUGAUGCGAAGAGAACCGUUGAUUGCUCUAAAGAAUGGUGGGAUGAACAUAUCAAGAGAUGCCAAGAGAGUACAGG